CGACGAUGCGUAGCCGACCUGAGAGGGUGAUCGGCCACACUGGGACUGAGACACGGCCCAGACUCCUACGGGAGGCAGCAGUAGGGAAUCUUCCGCAAUGGACGAAAGUCUGACGGACCCACGCCGCGUGAGUGAUGAAGGUUUUCGGAUCGUAAAGCUCUGUUGUUAGGGAAGAACAAGUGCAAGAGUAACUGCUUGCACCUUGACGGUACCUAACCAGAAAGCCACGGCUAACUACGUGCCAGCAGCCGCGGUAAUACGUAGGUGGCAAGCGUUGUCCGGAAUUAUUGGGCGUAAAGGGCUCGCAGGCGGUUUCUUAAGUCUGAUGUGAAAGCCCCCGGCUCAACCGGGGAGGGUCAUUGGAAACUGGGAAACUUGAGUGCAGAAGAGGAGAGUGGAAUUCCACGUGUAGCGGUGAAAUGCGUAGAGAUGUGGAGGAACACCAGUGGCGAAGGCGACUCUCUGGUCUGUAACUGACGCUGAGGAGCGAAAGCGUGGGGAGCGAACAGGAUUAGAUACCCUGGUAGUCCACGCCGUAAACGAUGAGUGCUAAGUGUUAGGGGGUUUCCGCCCCUUAGUGCUGCAGCUAACGCAUUAAGCACUCCGCCUGGGGAGUACGGUCGCAAGACUGAAACUCAAAGGAAUUGACGGGGGCCCGCACAAGCGGUGGAGCAUGUGGUUUAAUUCGAAGCAACGCGAAGAACCUUACCAGGUCUUGACAUCCUCUGACAACCCUAGAGAUAGGGCUUUCCCUUCGGGGACAGAGUGACAGGUGGUGCAUGGUUGUCGUCAGCUCGUGUCGUGAGAUGUUGGGUUAAGUCCCGCAACGAGCGCAACCCUUGAUCUUAGUUGCCAGCAUUCAGUUGGGCACUCUAAGGUGACUGCCGGUGACAAACCGGAGGAAGGUGGGGAUGACGUCAAAUCAUCAUGGCCCUUAUGACCUGGGCUACACACGUGCUACAAUGGACAGAACAAAGGGCUGCGAGACCGCAAGGUUUAGCCAAUCCCACAAAUCUGUUCUCAGUUCGGAUCGCAGUCUGCAACUCGACUGCGUGAA
rnacentral:rRNA from 1 species